rnacentral:lncRNA from 1 species
UAAAACCCUAGUGCUUUUAUAAAUUGAUAUUCAAAACUCUUUUAUUCAAUCGUAUUUGUUAUUGUUUAAUAUUUGUUUUUAGAAUCAACCAAAUUCAUAAAUCUUUCUUGACCUUUUUUUUAAGUAGUUAUUUGGAAUUUGUUUUUACUUACAUUGCUAAUUAGUCCUUGAAGAAAACGACCUUGCAUGAGCAUCUAUCCUACAAUAGCCUUGUAUUCUUGCAAGUAUUUUAUGUGAUUUUAACCGUGUUUGCACAGGUACUAAAAAUCAUAUCAAGAAAUUGGCGCCGUUGCCGGGGACUAUUUUAGACAAUUUGUGUUUCAACUUUUUCCUUUUAUUUUAUUUUAUUUUAUUUUUAAUUUUUGUCAAAAUUGAAAAUUUUUUUAAAAAAAAAUUUAACAGUUUUGUUUGUAUUUCUGAUUCUGCUGAAAUCUUUGCAUGGUCAACACCAGAUCACAACCUGCACAGUUUGUUCUGUUUGACCCAGAGCCUGAACGAAUAUUACGAAAACAGCACAGAGAACAAUUUUCAGCGUCUGAUUUUUCACUGCAGGACACAUUUUUGCAGGAUUUGUUUGCUGAUUUUGAGGGCACUGGGGUUUAAAUGGCGUUGGCAAUACCUGAAGGAGGAAGACCACUCAGAGAGUCGUUGGCUGCCCUUGUAAAUGAUGUUCCUAAUUGCAUAGUCUAUCCUACCCAGGAAGAUGGAGACACAUUUGAAAUUAGGCACCACAUGCUUGAGAUUUUACCAACAUUCCGUGGGCUGCCUAAUGAAGAUGCAAACAUACAUAUUGCAAAAUUUAUUGUGGGUUGCAAGAAUAUUUUGAUUAGGGGUUUUUCUGCUGAGGCUAUUAAGUUACGUCUUUUCCCUUUCACUUUGAAGGACAAAGCAGAAACUUGGUUAUUCACUCUACCAACUAAUAGCAUUACUACUUGGCAGCAGUUACACACAAAAUUCCUGAACAAAUAUUAUCCAGCAUCUAAGACAUGGAAUUACAAGAGGGAGAUUUUGACAUUCACACAAAAGCCUAAUGAAGAGUUUCAUGAAGCGUGGGAGAGAUAUACAGAGAUGUACAUAAAGUGUCCACAUGUUAAAAUUGAUUCAGAUACACAAAUGAAUAUUUUCUUUGAUGGGCUUAAUCCUACAUCUAAGAGCCAUGUGAAUGCAUCAGCUGGAGGAUCAUUGUCAAAUAAAUCUGCAAGAUAGGCAUUUGAACUGUUUGAUAUGAUGGCUAUAGAAUCUCAGCAAUGGGCAGCAGAACAUUCACAGAAAAGGGGCAUUUUUGAGUUAUAAGUAGGUUCUCCCAACAUGUCUGCACAAAUGGAAAAAAUGGAGAAGAAAAUUGAUGCAAAGUUUGAUAUGCUUCUACAACAUAUAGCAAGUUCUACACAGCAGCCACCUACAUCAACAGCUUGCACUAUAUGCAGUAUGGCUACACAUGACAUAAUGGGCUGCCCACAUAAAGACUCUUACCCAGAGCUUGUUGAACAACAUGUCAAUAUGAUGAACAGCCAUCAAAGGCCUAGGAAUGAUGCAUAUGCAACUCAUUACAAUCCUGGAUGGAGGGAUCACCCUAAUUUCAAAUGGGGUGACAAUCAGACUAAUGCCAAACGAUUCCAGCAUGCACAAAAGCCUUUUGUUCCCUCCAAACCAUCUCUAGAAGAUCAACUUGCUAAACUGGCAGCAACAACUCAAUCAUUCAUCGAGGGCAACAAUCAAAGAUUUCAAAAUGUUAAAGCAUCAAUUAAAAGUUUGGAGCAACAAUUUGGACAGCUAGCUACACAGAUUUCAGACAGAAAAAAGGGCAAAUUUUCGAGUCAAACAAUUCCUAAUCCAAAUAGACGUGAAGAUUGCAACGUUGUUCGGACUUUAUGAUGUGGAAAAAGCUAUGACAAUCGUGAAAAUAGCAUUGAAAAGGAGCAGCAAGCAGUGGAGGAUAAUACAGAAAAUUUUGCAACAGCAGAACCUGCCAAACCUGCAGAAAAAUAUAAUCUGGCUGAUCUAGAAACUGUUCCAAAACAAGUUCCGGAGCGUUAUUAUGCAGACACAAUUCCAUAUCCAGAACGUUUGAAGCCAAAAGCAAAAGAUCAGCAACUCAUGGACUUUAUGCAGACAUUAUCCAAGGUUCAAAUCAACAUUCCAUACUGGAUGCAAUCAAGAAAAUUCUAUCAUAUGCCAAAUUUCUGAAGGAAGUUUGCAGUAGCAAAAAGAAGCUUUCAGAUUUGGACAAAGUUAUUUUGACAGAACAGUGCAGCGCAGUUUUGCUACACAAACUACCACCUAAGAAAAAAGAUCUAUGGAGUUUUAAUAUUUCUUGCACUAUUGGAAAUUCUAAUUUUAAAAGUGCUUUAAUUGAUUUGGGUGCAAGUAUUAAUUUGAUGCCUUUUUCUGUUUUCCAGUGAUUGGAGCAAGGAGAUUUAAAGCCUACAUCAAUUAUACUUCAACUAGCUAACCGUUCAAUCACUUAUCCAAGAGGUGUUAUUGAAGAUCUAAUUAUUAAGGUUGAUAAUCUUUAUCUACCGACAGAUUUUGUGGUUUUAGACAUGGAUGAAGACCUUCAAACACCUAUUAUUUUGGGCAGGGUGUUUAUGGCAACAGCUAGGACCUUAAUUGAUGUGGAAGCUGGAACAUUGACUUUACGGGUUCAGGACCAAUCUGUGGUGUUUAAUGUGUUUGAGGCAGCAAAACGUCCUGCUGAACAGCAAGAUUGUAUGCGCAUUGACAUAGUAGACAGUAUGGUUCAAGACAGUUUUUAUGCCAGUACAAAAACAGAUCAGUUGCUGCACAUUUUACAAGGGGAACUUGGGACAGAUUCUGAAGAUGAAGGUGUUCUUGAGUACAUUCACGCAUUGGACAAUCUACCCACACUAUUGCCAAAAUUUAGGAAUGUGUACGAGAGUUUAGGGGAGCCCAAACAACCCCUUAAACCGUCCAAACAACAGCUGUCAAAAUUGUUGGCAGUUGUGUUCGCACUAGAGAACUUUCGGUCUUAUUUGGUUGGAGCUAAAAUAAUUGUCUAUACGGAUCAUGCUGCACUAAAAUACUUGUUGUCUAAGAAGGAUGCAAAGCCUAGAUUGAUUCGUUGGGUUCUUUUACUUCAAGAAUUUGACUUAGAGAUUAAAGACAAGAAUGGCAGUGAGAAUGUUGUGGUUGAUCAUUUAUCUAGAUUAAUUAUUCCAGCAGCUACAGAGGCAGAUUCUCUACUAUUGAGUGAAAGUUUCCCAGAUGGAUAGCUAUUUGCUAUCAAAAUUGACACACCUUGGUUUGCAGAUAUUGUCAAUUAUUUGGCUAAGGGUGUGGUGCAUCCAGAUUUUUCCUACCAGCAGAAAAAGAAGUUUUUAUCUGAUGUAAAGCACUAUUUCUGGGAUGAACCGUACUUAUACAAGUAUUGUGCAGACCAGAUGAUUUGCAGGUGUAUUCCGGAGGCUGAACAGGAAAGUGUUUUAAAGUUUUCUCAUCACUACGCUUGUGGAGGACAUUUUGGGCAAAAAAGGACAGCAGAGAAAAUCCUACAGAGUGGGUUAUUUUGGCCAACACUUUUUAGAGAUUCACAGAAUUGGUGCAAGGCAUGUGAUAGGUGUCAAAGGGUCGGCAAUCAAUCCAGAAAGAAUGAGAUGCCCUAGCAAAGUAUCCUAAUUGUUGAACUAUUUGGUGUUUGGCAUGUUGAUUUCAUGGGACCAUUCCCAUCUUCUAACGGGCACCAAUAUAUUUUAGUGGCUGUGGAAUAUGUUUCAAAGUGGGUCGAGGCCAUUGCAGCACCAACUAAUCAAGGAUCAGUGGUCCUGAAGUUCCUCCAUGGGGUUAUAUUUCCACGUUUUGGAAUUCCGCGUGUUAUUCUUAGUGAUGGGGGGAAGCAUUUUAUUAAUAAACCAUUUGCUAACCUACUGGCAAAAUAUGGGAUUAAUCAUCGCGUGGCUACACCAUACCACCCACAGACAUUUGGUCAAGUUAAAGUUUCAAACAGAGAAAUAAAGCGUAUUUGGAGAAAACAGUGAGCUCUACACACAAGGAUUGGACUUUAGAACUAAAUGAUGCUUUGUGGGCAUACAGGACAGCUUAUAAAACUCCUAUUGGGAUGUCACCAUUCCGACUUGUUUAUGGGAAAGCCUGUCAUCUACCUAUGGAGCUGGAGCAUAAAGCUUACUGGGCCAUUAAAGAGUUAAAUUUUACAUAUGACUCAGCUGGGGAAAAGCAGAAAUUGCAGUUAAAUGAGCUAGAGGAAAUUCGUCAAGGUGCUUAUGAUAGUUCUCGCAUCUACAAGGAAAGAACUAAGGCAUUUCUGAUAGUCAAAUUUUACGGAAGGAAUUUCAGCCAGGGCAAAAGGUUCUGUUAUUCAGUUCAAGGCUCAAGUUGUUUCCAGGGAAAUUAAAAUCUCGCUGGACUGGACCCUACCUAGUGACUCAAGUUUUUCCUCAUGGAGCAGUUCAAAUCACUAAUGAAGAUAAAGGCAACACGUUCAAGGUGAAUGGUCAUAAGCUGAAACCCUACGUGGAGACACCUUUUGACAUUGCAGCCGAGUCUUUGACUCUGAAGGAACCAGUGAUUUGACCACCAGGCUUCUGCAAAGUCUAGCUAUAGACUUAAAAUAAAGCGCUUAUUGGGAGGCAACCAAAUUUUUCUAAACUCUUUACUUCUUUUAUUUUCGAAAACAAAAAAAAAAACAAAAAAACAAAAAAUUUUGUUGUUUUCUUUAUCUAGUUGUUUGUAUUUUCUUUCUAUUCCUAACACAUAAUUGACUAAAUGCAGGACACAACUAUCAGCAGCAAGCAUCAAAAACAGAAAAUCCUAUACUAGAAUCUUGCACCCAGUAGCAGCUGGAAUCUUGCACCCAGCAGCAGCUGGAAUCAUGCACCCAGCAGCAAGUCUACAUUAACAUCACCACAUCUACACUAUACUGGAAGUUAAAGCAAUUCACAUGAGCUCACUCAAAGAUGCAAAUUUGGGGGAAGCUAUUGUGGAUCCAGCACAUAUAUAUAUAUAUAUAAUUUUAAGCAGUUAAUUUUUUUUUGCAGCUCAGUUUACACCACAUAGCCAGACACCACACAACUGAGUAUCGCUAUCAGAACCAACCAAAAGACACAAAUAAGCAAAAAUUCUCACAAUCUAGAAAGACCCAUGAAUUAAUACAGAUCUACAAAAAAAAAAUAAGAAAAACUUGCAGGGAUUCGAUAUUAUACCUACUCCCAACUUGAAGAUUGACUUGCUCGCUGAAAUCCGCCAGUCUCCAUGCAUUAUUUCCAAGGUUGAUGCAACUCUACAAUUGCAGCCGAUGAAAACAGAUGGGGAUGAGUAUCUCAGAACAAGGCAACGAAGUCUGUAAUAAUCACUCUUGUUCUUAAUUACUUUCAACACAAUUAUACCCACACUAAGACCCAGCUAAGAGCACAAUGCGAAGCUUACCGUUAACCAAGCUCAGGAACUCCGAGUGUAUGUGGUGUUGGGGUUGAACUCGGUCUGGGUCAGCUCAUCCGAGUCGUUGGGGUUGGAGUUGGGACGGAUCUCGGUGAGGAUUCAAUUGUCUCUUCGACAAAGCCGCAGCGGAUGGUGAUUUUGAUUUUGUUGAACGUUUUCUGGAUCUGGCACCCUCACACAGAUGAACCCACACGACUAUGCUCUGAAGGAUAGCCAAGGCUCUUGAGUUCUUGCUAGAGAUGACAAGGGGAGAGGGUGGAGAUGGAUGGGUUGAAACUGAGUGAAAUAAAAAAGCGUCUUUCGUGAUUUACAAUCUGAGCUGGGAAUGGCCAAAGGCGAGCCUGUUGGCUCUGGACUCAAGGUUAGACGAAGGGGAUUCAAUAUUUUUCAAAUGACGCAUGAACACUGCUAAACCAGUUAUAUAGUAGCUAUCGUGAGGUUUUGACACAAGUAUUUACUUAGCCGUGUUGGUCAGCGAGCCAGGUCCCAGCUACCAGUUCCUGCUUUCGAAUCCCAGAAACGUUAAAUUUUCCCUGCAACAAAAUCAAAACAAAAACACAACAAAACAAAAAUAAGGAAAAUAAAAAGUGUGGAGUGUGUGAAGUAUGAAUAAAAGGGAUGAGAGGUAAAGGCUUUAGUCGAAUCUCCAUAACCAUGAUGGUUCACUUUACACCAAAGGAAGUUUGUGAAUUCUUUUCUGAUUGAGUCUAAAUAGCUUAGACUCUGUGGUGGGAUUACUUGGAUCUAUUGAAAGGAUGUUCUAUUUUUUAAAAUUUUCUAUGGAUUGCAACUUGAAGGUGGAAAUUUUGUCCUGGUUAAGUGUUAGCCAGAUGUCUAGUCUGUUAAGUUUUUAUUUUUGUUUGAGUCUUGUUUCGCUUGAGGACAAGCAAAAAGCUAAGUUUAUGGGUAUUUUGAUGGACAUAUUUUAUAUUAUAUAUUUAACCUUAUUCUUAGUAUAUUUUGGUUAAUAUUUUGAAAGAAUUUUGAUACUUUGAAUUAUAUUUUCAAUAUAGGACUUUCCACUCUCUCUGGAGCAAAACAUAAUCAAAUGGACGAAUUUUGGAGUAAUUCUAAUUGGAGGAUGUUCGUGAGACCGUAUCAAAAUUUCAGAUUUUUCUUCCAAGCGGUUAUUUUCUAGCAAUAAAUUAAAGGAGUAGUGCGCAGUGCUGGAAUAGUGAUGUGUUGGGCUUUUAUUGCAUUUUUGGAGCCGAAGAUGACCUCGGAUAGGUUCGUGGCCUUCUAGAGAAGUGUUCAGAACAUUUUUAUCUUUAAAACAAGCUAUAUUGGGCCAGAUUUGGAGGAGAUUUUGGGCCAAAACAUGGCUGGGCAGAUUUUGGACAGAUUCUCCUAUUCCAAUUUGGACUUUAUUUCCUAGUAUUAUUUUAUUUUAAUUAGUUUCCUUGUGGGGAUAGAAAAGCCGUACAUUGGCAGCUAGGUUUUAAGGGGUAUUUAAGCUCUUUCUCACAAGGAAUUGAGGACUUCUUUUUCACUUUUGAACUUUGCAUUGUGGAGAGCAAUUGCUAGGGUUUUGGGUUUUCGCAUCUUUCAGGUGUUUUCGUUCUUUUCUUCUUAAUGAUAUUUUCUUGGAUUUCAAUUAUGAGCGUGCGUAACUAAAUUUCUUUUGCUAGGGUGAAGCCUUGAACCUUAGCAUGAAUAUGUGAUUUUUAUUUUGAGUGCAUGCCUACUUGAAUUGUUAAUCACUGUUUUAAACUAUCUAAUUGUCUUAAUACCUGAUCAUCAUUAGGAUCUUUAGAAAAAUAAUUGGAUGCAAUUUUGGUCGGAAGGUUCUCUGAAAUUGAUGCUAGCUUCUUGUGAUUAAUAAUUGUAAUUUCACUUAAGAUGAACACCACGUCUUAAGGGUUGCAUGGUUUUUCAAAGGGUUUUCACAAAAACUUAAUGAGUCUUUCAUGUUCAGAUUUGAUCCGAACGUCCGGACGGGUUGCAUGUUGGAUAUACGUUUUGUGUUGGAGGUUCCAAAUAGAAUAUACAUUAAGAAAACCUAACCUUCAAAGUGGCAUGUGCAAAUUAUAAGUAAUUGGUAAAAGUUCAUAGGAUUGCUAGGUGAUGGUGAAACCCUAGUGCUUUUAUAAAUUGAUAUUCAAAACUCUUUCAUUCAAUCGUAUUUGUUAUUGUUUAAUAUUUGUUUUUAGAAUCAACCAAAUUCAUAAAUCUUUCUUGACCUUUUAUUUUAAGUAGUUAUUUGAAAUUUGUUUUUACUUACAUUGCUAAUUAGUCCUUGAAGAAAACGACCUUGCAUGAGCAUCUAUACUACAAUAGCCUUGUAUUCUUGCAAGUAUUUUAUGUGAUUUUAACCCUGUUUGCACAGGUACUAAAAAUCCUA